rnacentral:tRNA from 1 species
GCGGUUGUAGUUUAAUGGUAGAACGCUUGCCUUCCAAGCAAGUCGUGAGGGUUCGAUUCCCUUCAUCCGCUCCA